AUAGGCGAGCCCGUUGCGCAGAGACUGCUUGGUAACAGCGGCUAUGUCUUGCCCGUCGAUCAGGAUCACGCCCGAUUGUGGAUCGUAGAAGCGUGGAAU
rnacentral:sRNA from 1 species